rnacentral:lncRNA from 1 species
GGGAUUACAGGCAUGAGCUACUGCACCUGGCCUCAUUUAUUAAUAGUAGUAUUAUUUUUGCUGUUUAAAAGAAGAGGAAACAGAGACUUAGAGGCUAAGUACAUUGUGGGAGGUCACCAAGCCACUACAUGGCAUGACCCUGCCCUGCUCUCUCCUAACCAUGUGGCUACCCAUCGCAUCUGGAGAGCAGCAGAAUGGACUCCUUUCUUGGAUGAGUUGGGGCGUAUUGCCUCUCUCCAGACUAAAGGAGAUGGAGACUUCCAUAAGAGCAAAAGCUGUUCUGAGAUUCCACGUCCCCUUGAAAUAUGCAACCAGUGAUACCAGUUUCUGAAGCAUCCUCUAGAGGCAGUCUGUGCAUAUCCAGCAAAUACGGACACAUUUUUCCCUUUUUUUAUACAUGAAUGGUAGCAUACUGCAUAAGCUCUUCUGCACUUGCUUCUUUCCCCACUUACUAUCUCUUGGAGGUCACUCCUGAUAUGUAAAGAACUUCCUCAUUUGUUUUCAUGGCUGUAGAGUGUUCCAUUGUAUGUCUUAUCCUAACUUAUGACCGGUUUUCUAUUUAGAGAAAUUGAGACUAUUUCCAGCAAACAAUGCUGCGCUGACAUGAUGCUCGUUCGUUGGGGUAUCUGCAGGCCAACUUCCUAGAAGCAGAAUUCCCAGCCUGUGUUGGUAGCUGCUAUGGUCUGAAUGUUUGUGUCCCCUCAACAUUUAUGUUAAAAUCCCCGAGGUGAUAAUGUUAGGAGGUGGGGCCUUUGAGGAGGUAAUUAAGUCAUGAGAGUAGAGCCUUUGUGAAUGGGAUUGGUGCCUCUAGGCCAGGCGCGGUGGCUUAUGCCUGCAAUCCCAGUGCUUUGGGAGGCUGAGGCAGGAGGAUCACUUGAGCUUAGGAGUUUGAGAUCAGCCUGAGCAACAUGGCAAGACCCCUAUCUCCAUAAAAAUUAAAAAUCAAUUAAUUAGUUUAAAAGCCCCCAGGGAGGCCAGGCACGGUGGCUCACGCCUGUAAUCCCAGCACUUUGGGAGGCUGAGGUGGGUGGAUCACUUGAGGUCAGGAGUUCAAGACCAGCCUGGCCAACAUGGUGAAACCCCUUCUCUACUAAAAAUACAAAAAUUAGCCGGGCAUGGUGGCGGAUGCCUGUAAUCCCAGCUACUCGGGAGGCUGAGGCAGGAGAAUUGCUCGAACCUGGGAGGCGGAGGUUGCAGUGAGCCAAGAUCGCACCAUGGCCCUCCAGCCUGGUAACAGAGCGAGACUCCAUCACAAAAAGAAAAGAGAGAGCUGCCUCUCCCCUUCCACCAUGUGAGGACACAGUGAGGAGACACUAUCUGAGAGCCAGACGCCGAAUCAGCCUUGAUCUUGGGCUUCCCAGCGUCCAGCACUGUGAGAAAUACAUUUCUGUUGUUCAUAAGCCACCCAGUUUCUAGUACUUUGUUGGAGCAGCCUGAGCAGACUAGGACAGCAGCUAUUGCCAAAUGCUCUCCAUAGAGGCCAUGCCAAUGUCACCUUCCUCCGGAAAAACAGCCCAUUUCCCUACACCCUAGCCAACGCCAUGUGUUUUACACUUUUGCCAAUCUGAUAAGUGAAAAGUGCUUUUUUGGAAUAGCCUUCGCUUGAAUUUCUGUUAUUAUGAUUGAGGUGAGCUUUUCCAUAUUGUGAUUUUGAAAUACGGUGUCCUCAUCGGUAAGUGUGGCUGAGGAGAGAGCCAAGAAGUUCUGAACAGAAUGUGGCUUUCUCUCCUGUGCCGGGAGCACCGUGGCCACCACGUGUUUUCAGUUCAGGGAUUGUCCUCCAGGGGUGCACAUGUGUGAGGUGAGCAACU